UUUAAUCAGUUUUGGUUUGAUAUUUGCUUAGCUUUGUACAGUAUGCCAAUAAUUUUCGAAAUUUUAUCUUCUAUCGUUUUUAUAUGCUCUCUCCAUGUCAAGUUUUCGUCAAGUAUCAAUUCCUAAAAAUUGAAUGACGACUCUAAUUAUUUUAGAGUUACCAAUACAAUGAUCAGAAAGUUUUUAUGGAAUAUUUUUGUUAUCGUGAAGUCUAUGAAAAAAAGGAUACUUAGUUUUAUUUAAAUUUAAGGAUAAUUUGUUUGCCUUAAACCGCUAGAUUUAAAAAUUCUUUGUUUACUAUUUUAAAUGAAAGGUUGAUAUCUCCUUUAGAAUAAAAUCAAUUCGUGUCAUCUGCAAAUAAAAUUGAGUUUAAAAUAUUUGAAAACUUAUGGAAAUCGUUUACAUAAAUAAGAAAUAAAAGUGGAUCCAGAAUUCAGCCUUGAGGAACACAUCAAGUUAUAGUCAAGGAAGAGUUACCUUAAUUGGAACAGUUAAGGAAUAAUUAUUUAUUAAUCUAAGAUGGAAUUUUACUAACUAAUGGAAAGUUUUAUUGUGUUGAAUUUGUGUAUACAUUCGAGCUGUUUGGAUAGAAAAUACAGAGAAAUAGAGAGAGAAAAUUCGAUUGAUAAUUUUUCGUGCUGGCCAUCAUUAUUAAAUGUAAUAAAUUGUUUCAAUGAAAUGCAUAAACCAAAGUCUAACUAAUACAGAUUUUAGCUGCUCAAAAUUAAAUCUCAUGGAGCCACUACAAUGCUUAUGCAAGAGAAAACAUAAUAACCAACAGAAUAGUAAGCAAGUAC